UGAAAUAACGCAUUGAACAUCUGCAAGGGGAUGAAAACCCAAACCCAGCCAAAAAUUGCUCCUAGGCCAUUGAUUUUUUUCGUUUCUCUGUCGAUUAUUUGAUUCCCCGUCUCUGUAAUUUUUGCAAUUAGGUUUCGAUUCUGUUCAAACCAAGCUCUGGCGAAUCGUCUCAGUUAGGUUUUGAUUCUGUUCAAACCAAGCUCCGGCGAAUUGUCUCCGGCCGCGAACAGCUCAAAAUCGCCUUCGAUUCGCUCCAUUACCAGAUUAGAACUGGUUUGCUCGAGUGGAAAUCAGUCAGCAUACACGACAAUUGGACCUCAAACAUCUAAAAUUUCUGUUUCCAGAUUGAGAUUAUAUACAACUUCGGGCGGGAGGACAAUGACUAAGUAGGGUCAUCAUCACUGAAAAAUAACAAGAGGUGAGAAUAAGAGCAUAACAAUUUUAGGCGAGAACUAAGAGAAUUUUAACUAGGGAAGGUUGUUGCAUAAGCACUUAACGAGCGUACAGAAUUGUCGGUGGGUGAACUUCUGAGCACCAUUGGUAGACUGCAAACUGAGCAACAAAAGCAAGUUCGAGAAUUUAAGGUGAAAAAUGAUUGAACAUGAUUUGGAAAUUGCUGCAAUAUGGGUGGAGAUGUUGAGACGGCAGAAAGAAUUCAUCGAGUAUAGGAAGUCCACGCUGAAAAUGCGUAAGAAGUUUUUAGCUGGAUCCUCUUCUCUCAUGGCCACAUCACUGAAGGAGCUAUUUUUCAUCGAAGAUCUGGUGAAGAAUCAUGGAUACAAAGGGAAGAUUUAUGCAUCAGCGCCCUUAACUAGAGGAUGCGCUGAAGGUUUUGGACAGACGACCAACUUGAAGAUUACCUAUGUGGAGUGAUUUCAUAUUUCAUUAGAAUUUUGUAUUUCCAGUUUCCUAUGGAUUUCAAAAGUUUUGAUAUAUCAUUUUUUUUCUUCUGAAACAAAAAUGAAUACGUGUUACAUUUUCAUUUGCAAUCUAUAUUAAUUUUCGAAGAUAUUUUCGAAAAUUGUGAU